rnacentral:lncRNA from 1 species
UGUAAUUUAAGCUUUCGAGACAUCCCUCAUCCAUUCUCUUGGAGCUUUCUCACUUAUAUUAAAGUUAUUUCAAGGUUAGAUUUUAAUUUUUUAGAUUUGUUUAUAUUAUCAAUUUUUUAAUUCAUUAUGUUUUUUUAUAUUAUUAUAAUUUAUUAGAUUAAAUUUUUAUCUUUUAGAUUGAAUUUUUUUUUACCAAAUAUUCAAAGUGUUUCAAGAUUAAAAACUUUUAAGAAAAAAGAGUGAGAAGUUACUUGAAGAUAAAAAAAAGAAAAGAAAAGGGUAAACUAUAAAACUAAUCACUUUUGUUUGACUUAGAUUACAUUUUAGUCACUUAUAUUUGAAACGUUACGUUUUAGUCACUUACGUUAUUGUUUUAUUAUGAAUUAGUCACUCUAUCAUUAAAUUUCGUUACCUCCCUAACGGUAAUCUUACGUAGCAUUCUAAAUAGUUUUUAAAUGUCAACUUAGAUGUCCAACUAGGACGAGAAUAGUUUUUUUUGUCAAAAUGGAAAAGAAAACUAAAAAAAAAUGAGACCACGAUUUUUCUUUUCCUGUUCAAGAUGUAAUUAAUUUAAAUUUUAAUUAAUUUAAAACCUAUUAUUAUCCUAGUUGAACAUCCAAGUUGGCAUUUAAAACUCAUUUGGAUUGCUACAUAAGAUUGCCGUUAAGAAGGUAACGAAGCUUAACGACAGAAUAACCACUUCGUAACAAAACAAUAACGUAAGUGACUAAAAUAUAAUAUUUCAAACAUAAGUGAGUAAAAUAUAAUCUGAGACAAAAAAAUGACUAUUUUUAUUGUAAUGACCAAUUUUGGCCCGGGCCUAUGCAAACACAAAACAAGCCCCCCCCAAAAAAAACAUAACUAUAAAAACCGCAUCAUAAACAGUCCUUACAGUUCAAUUACAGAAACUAGUGACCCAACUACAAGAAUAGGCCCAACAGGCCCAAAACGCUAAGGUUACAGAAGACCCAAUACCCCAUAGCCCAGUUACAUGACCCAUAGCCCAAAACUAAUACUAAACCUAGUCCAAAUUAUAUCGGCCCAAGUGGCCCAAGAUUCAAAAAUUAGGGCAGAACCCUAGCAGUUUGUUUGCGUCGCAGCAGUCCCAACCUCCACGCCUCCGUAUGGCCUCGUACCCGAGCGCACACCCGUACCUACAAGAAGACAAACAGAGCAGUAGCCAAUACGAAAGCAAAGAGAAAAUUGCAUUUUUCUUUAUUUUUUGAUUAUUCGGCUAUAAAGUCGAUGAUUUCCGACUGUAAAUCCUUCCUUUUUUUUACACAAGCAAUACACACGCAAUAGGCAAUACAAACACUAUUUUUUGCAUAUUCAAUACAAAAAAAGGCAACCGAUAUUAAGAGGUGAUCUCGAACGCCAUAUUUUUUUUAUUUCUGAAAAUCGCUUUCAUCUCCAGAUCUUGCUUGUUUUUUUUUUUCUUUUUGCAAAAAAGGGAGAUAAAAACGAAGACUUACCUUCGUAUCUAAGCCAUCGGAGUCAAUCAUCUUCGUCGACAUCGAAGUUUGAGAAGACUUCGAGGCCAAAAUUGGCAAACCUAUGCGUCGGGUUCAGAACGGGGGAGAAACGGAGCACCACCGGAGGCCAUCAAUCACUGUUUGUGAUGAUGAAGCCAUGGCUAGGUGGCGCAUAGCAUUAGGGUUUCCCUUUCUUUUUUUCUUCUUCAUCGGUUCGGCUGGAUAGGCUAAAGGGGGCCUUUAUAAAGAACCCAAAACGGUGCCGUUUGAGCCUGCUUCAAUGGCUCAAAACGGUGUCAUAUGGAUGAGCCCGAUCCGACCCAGCUCCUAAACCUCAGGAUCCGCGCGUUUACUGCGGUAAAGGGAAAUUUGCGCAUUUAAUCCCUUGCUGUCGCGCUAGUGAUUGAUUAGGUCUAGUCCAGGUUUUUUAUUUUCUUAAAUCCGCCCGGUGAUUUGCGCUCAUUCGCGUUUUGGUCCGCGCUUCAGUGAUGCGUUUUGUGGCAUGGAUUAUUUCCAGUCCUGGUCCUUACGCACUUGAGCACAUGGCAUAUUGGUCCAUAUUAUUAUUACUAUUUAUUUGUUAAUUAUCCCAUGUGUUUUAGCUUAAUUUUAAUUGGGUCUCUUCUUCUAUAGCUUAUUUAUUUAUUUGUGUAUUUUAAGCAACUUUGACAAUUUUUUCUUCAUUGUUGUGGAUUCGUUCUUGUAAUAUUAUUAUCAUACUUUGUAUACUUUAAAUGUUUAUCUCCUUUAUAUUAUUAUACAUAUACACAUUUUGUAGCAAAGUUAACGUAUUUUCAUGCAUAUAAUGUUUUUUAUUUUAACCAUGUAUUUUAACAUAUAAUUUCGUUAUGAUAAUAUGUUUUGUAUAUGUGUUUUGUAUAAAAUUAUUUUUCUAUUUGCUUAUAUUAGUACACACAUUUGAUUUAUAUACAUUAUUAAACCUAUACAUAUUAUCAUUUCUAUAUAAAUUUGGCAUGUGUUCACUUUUAAACUUAUAUAUAUAUUAAUACACUUAUUACUUUAAUGGAAUUUUCCACUUUAAAAUAAUUUUUGCUUUGUGAUUUACCAAGUAUUUUCUCUACACAUAUAUGAAAUAAUUUUGGAAACUUCCUUUUUUUUUGUGUAAUUAUAAAAUUAUUAUUUUUUGAGUAUAUCUAUAUAUAUUAUGUUGCUUUGGUGUUUGUAUAGUCUAUCAUUUUAAAUGUUUUGAUAUAAGGAUAUGUAUGAUUUUUAGACUGACUUAAAAUUUAUAUAUAUUAUUAUUAACCUAAUUUUUUUUUAUAAAUUCAUAUGUACAUAUUUUUUUUAUAAAUCUAUUUUGGGUAUUAUGUCUGGUCAUGCAAUUUUUUAUUACUCUUUUGUAUCAUUUUUUUAUUAUCAUACAUUUUGUAAACCUUUAAACCAAUUUGUGUUUAAAACAUUUACAUUUACAUGUAAUCGGAUUCAAACUUUGAUUCUAUAAUAUCUCUUUCAAUAAUUAUAUAUAUUCUUAGUUCCUCUGCAAAUUUGUCAACUUAUAUAUUACUUAUUUUAAAAAUAUUCAUCCUACAAUAUAUAUUUUAAUGAUUGCGUGUGUUUAUUAAGCUUGUCUUUACAAAUGUUUUUAUUUAUCAAUUCAUCAAUCCAUAUAGAAUGUGUCAUGUACUUAUCAUUGUUUUGAAAUAGUUUUAUACCAUAUUGCUUCUUCGAUUUGCAUUUUGUCUUGUGCAUCUAAUAGUAAUCAUCUUUUUAUUAUGCCAUGCACGUUAUCGUUGCAUUAUUCAUUGUUUUAUAUUGUCAUGUUAAUUAUUUUCCGUGCAUGAUUGAAAUUGAGUUAUGUUUCCACCUUAAUUUUACUUAGUUUUAAGUUCUUGUUAGUUGGUUAAAUAAAUUGUAUUGCCUCCACUCUUCCGUUGUCGUGUUUUAUGCGUACACAUAUCUCUCAUAUCAUCGUUUCCACUUGAUUUUUGAAAUGUGAUUUUAUAAAAACCAAAUUUUAUGAUUAAUUUCGUCUUAUUUCAAAUGAGAUUAAUGCGUUUUAAGCUAGUUUUAUAAGUAUUCAUUUAAAAAUUCUUUAAAACGAAUGCAAUACUCGGUGUUUGACAAUUCGGGAAUCAUGCCCUAUCGUGCUGGGUUGUGAUUUCUCGUUUGCUCAAAACAAUCGAAUAUUCCUAUAGGUUUUCACUCAUGUUUAUUAAAAACCUUUCAAAACGAAGAUGAUGUUCGAUGAUUGGCGAUUUGAGAAUCGUGCCCUAUCGUGCUAGGUUGCGCUUUUUCAUUUGUUCUAAACGAUCGAAGAUCCCUUCGGAACUUCAUUCACGUUUUCUAAAAACUCUUUAAAAUGAAAGAAAUGUUCGAUGUUUGGCAAUUCGGGGAAUAGUGCCCUAUCGUGCUGGGUUGCAAUUUCCCGUUUGUUCAAAAUAAUUGAAUAUCUCUUCGGAAUUUCACUCGUAUUUUCUAAGGCAAGGCAAUGUUCAAUAUUUGGAAAUUCGAGGAAUCGUGGCCUACUGUGCUGGGUUUCGGUUUUGCGUUGGACCUAAUAGUUGGGCAUCAUUUUGUAAUUUUCAAAUUAUAAACUUUCGGACGUCAAAACAAGAAGAUUUUGGCAACCAACUCGGGUUACUCAAAUGUUAUUAAAAAAGAAUCACAUUUCAAAAACAUUUUUUAUUUUAGACAUAAGGACAAUAUCUAAUCGAUUUGGUACCAAUUUUGGGCGUAGUGAGGGUGCUAAUCCUUCUUCAUACGUAACCUACUCCCGAGCUCGUUUUUUCAUAUUUUCGUAGACCGGGAUCGUUGUUUUAGUAAACCAAAAAUGUUUUAUUAAAAUAACCAAAUUCUUAGGUGAUCCGAUCACACUAAAACAAAAAGAUCGGCGGCGACUCCAUAUUUUUGUUUUUCAAAAAGUCGAUUCCCCAUUUUUCUUUUAUUAAAUUUAAAAUUUUAAAAUGAAAAGUUGGUUUCGACAUUUAUAAUUUACCAAAAAAAAAAAACUCAGAAUCACUAAGAGAAAUUUUAAACUUGCAAAGACAAGACAAAAAGAACCCAAAGAUAUCGGCAAAAAUUCUUUUAUCUAUUUUCGCUUUAGGGUUUUUCUUUCUAUUUUUUUAUGCAAGAUUGUUUUGAAUAUUUAUUUAUGAUAUUUUCUUCGCUUAAAUGAGUUGAACUAUAUUUUCCUCGAAUGAUGAUAGAUUUUAUAUAGUAGUUUAUUGAUUAUUUUUUUCUUCAAUUAUUUUAAUCUAUAUUAAUUAUUUAUUCAAUUUUGUAGGCUUGUCUAGCCACCAUAUUAAUUUGAUAGGACUGAGAUCUAGAUUGAAUAGAUCAUGAUUGAUUCUAGAGUUAUAAUAGGAAUAUACUUAAUGUGCAAUCAAUUCUUUAUUCUUAACGACUUAACUCAACUUGACUAGCAUAGAAUAUAGCUAGUGGGGGAAGGAGAUUAACUUAGUUAGAUAUUGUAAAAAAAUUAAUUAAUUAAAGCCAUUAAAUCUUUAAUUAGUAAUUAUAUCAAUUUAACACUUAAAUAAGAAAUAAUUGAUUAACUAAAUUAGGUGAACUUAAAAUUCCAAAAUUAUAAAAUUAUUGAAAAACUCGAAAGUUUUUAUUGACUCGUAGUUAAGUAAAAUACUCAUAAUUUGUUUUGUUAAGAGUAAUAGUAAUUAGAAUCUAAAUGAUGAUAAAAAGUGAAUUAUUAAUACUUAACUACUUAGAAUUUGAUUCUCGGACAAACAAUCUCAUCUUAUAUUACUUAAUUAACAUGCGAAAUUGCAUUAACUUCUAUCACCAUCUACUAAUCAACAAUUUAUUAAACUAAGAAUUAGUUUAACCACCGAUCUGAUUUUUAUAACGUAGAAUAUUAUAAAAUUGCAACAAAUUAUUUCAGCUUCCUCUCCAUUAUUUCUUUUUCCAAAUACAUCUUUUGUUUAUCCUUCAUGCAUAUAAGAUUCAUAUUAGUCUAAAAUUAAGUAGGUCUUAUACAUGAACAAGUAAUGAUAUUAAGAAAGAAUAGGAAGAAAAGUCGGCUGUCGUUUUUCUUUUCUGUUGUUAUUUCUUUUCUGAAUUAUAAAUGAUUAAGUUCCAAAAAUGAAGCAUCGAGAAUCGAAGUCUAUACAUUGAUUGAUGAGAAUUUUGUGAGAAGGCUGGCUUGGCUACUACACUAUCCUUGUAUAUAUCCAUCCUAUAUUUGCCCACUCUUUUUGAACAAAACUUGUUAGAGUGGACCAAACGAUAUCGACUCAUCUUGUUUCAGUUUUGUUGUUAGUGGUUUGAAUUGGUAAACUGAACCAAAUAAUACUUGUACUUGUGUGGAAUACUAGUAUUUAUAGUACUUUUAUAUAUUUAUAUAAAUUUUGAAGGGAUACCAUGAAAAGAAAGACUGAGGUGAGUUAAAAGUGGGCAAAUGAAGCUGUACUUGUAAAAUGGAGGACCACAUUGAAAAGCUUUACUACAAAUUGCUUAUUGCUCAAGGAACUAUUAAGAAUAAGAAGACACAACAUCCCUUCUCCACAACGUUUGGGAAGAAGAUGUUUUGUUUAAGCUCACAACUAUGAUAACAACUUCUUGUAUGUAUCUUGUAAGUUGCACUUGACUGACUAGUUCUAAAUUGUUGGUUCUUUUAUAUUUAUUUUGGGUAAAACUCAUAUAUUAUCAACAGUAGUAAAUUAUUGUCACGGAUAAUUUUUACGAUUUGAUCAUACGAUGUGAGCAUGAAGUAAACAUUCUUAACUAAUGAGCUGAGCACUGAACUUCAUCUUUUUUUUUAAUUAUUAGAUAGAUGAAGUUGUCAAAAUUAUUUGUUUCCUUUUUAAUGAUUAAAUAUUUUUAAGAUGAAUAUCGUCAAUUUUUCAAAAGAUGUUUGAAUUAUAAUAUGCAUUUAAUAUUACUUCAAUAUCAAGAAAAUCAAUUGAGAGAGAUUAAAGUGGAGCUUGAUACUUAGCAAUAAUGGAGGUAAAGGCAAUUAGUGAAAGUUUAUUUAUAAAGAGUUUAAAUAGAAUACCUCGUAAGAGACUGAAAUGAAUAUUAUAUCCAUUAAUUAAAGAGGUUGAAGUCUCUUUGAGUAAAACCCUAAUUAAAUUCGUAUUAUUUAAAUGCUUUAUUCUAAACAUAUAUAAAUGGUAAAUGUUAGAAACAACCAAACCCCACUCCUACUAUGUUUAUGUUCAACAUCAAUAAAUAAAAUUAAAAAGAAAAAAGAGAGAGAAAACAUUAAAGAUUCUCUUAGUGUCCACCACAUAAAUAAAUAUCAUGAUUGGUUUUCAAAGUGAAAUUAAUAAUUUCUUAACCUAACGAACUCCAAUAUUUCAACCAAUGGGGACGUAGGGUAGUGACAUUGUAAGGUCGAAAUGGAAAGUAAUCAAUCAUUAUCCAUUAUCCAUUAGCCUCUUUCCCUUUAUAUUAAUCUUAUAAUAUUAAUACACCAAUAUCUGGACCAACCGCAGUGCUUUAAUAUUAAUUUAACAACCAAAUUUGCUAAACUUAAAAAAGACAUGUCUGGUUCAUCAACUUGCAUAUGUUCUGUUGGAAAACCUUUCCUCGCUAGGAAUAGGAAUAAAACCUGUUUAGAGUUUAAACAUUAUCUAGAUUUGUUAACUGAUAUAUACUUAAUUAAAGAUAUCUUUACGAAUAGUUUAAUUUAUAAAGUUAUUCGAAUACUCAUCUUUCUCCUACCACUUGCUGCUUUAACCAGUGUUUUUGGACAUCCUAAACCUUUUAUAAAGGUUUUGGAGUGCUCAUAAUCUUGUUCCAAGUUCAAUUAGCUUAGUAUUUUAAUUGUUAACAGUUCAAGUUCAAAAGUUUUUUCGAAUUUUAGAAGGGUUUACAUAAAAUUAUUAAGGCUCGAAAAGUUAACUUCGAUAAUAAGAAAAUUAAAUCAUGAUGUACGAAAAAUUGUUACGCGGGUACACAUGUCAAAUCAAGUAAUAAAGUCAUAAAAAGAUAUCGUUUUCAUGAAGAUCAAAUUCUAAGCUACUAACUAUCAACUAUUCAUUUUUAUCUAAUCUAACUGUAAGGCCCAAUUUUGGCCCGGGCCCGUACAAACACAAAACAAAAAAAACAAAAAGAAUAAAUUAUAAUAAAAAUAUUAUAACAGUCCAAAUAUUACAACCCAUUUACAACAAAUAUUGACAGUCCAUCGGCCCAAAAUAAUUACAAUGACCCAAAUUAAUCCUAGCCCAAUAUUACACAACAGAGCAGGCCCAAAUGGCCCGAGAGUUUGGCAUUCACAGAAACCUUAGGGUCCCCCUCGAUGUGCCGCAGCAACCUUCAACCUCCAAGCGCCGUAUAAUCUCCAGCACACCUCCGUACGCCCCACGCGGAGUGCCACGUACCACCACAGCUAGCCUCGUACCUCCAUACUUGCAAACAAACAAGAGAACGAUAGCAAACACGAAGGAAAAUUUGAUUUUUUUUAUUCUUUCGAAUUUCGGCUAUAAAGCCAAUAACUUCUUCAUUGUAUUUUUUUUGGACGCAUAUUAAAUAGAAAAGUACAAAAGCAACCAAGAAAUAGAAGGUGAUUUCAGAUUUUAUUUGCUCGUGUUUUGAUUUUUUUCUUUGUUCCUGCUUAAGGAUUCUUUCGCAUGAAAAUAAAAAGUGAAAAGGAGAGGGCUUACCUUCGCAUACGAGCCAUCGGAGUCCUCAUCUCCUUCGUUGAAAUCGAAGUUUGAGAUAGGAUUUUGGGGUUGAAAUCGAUGACCUUUGAGGCUUGGUUUUAAACGGAAGGCAAUAAGAAGCCAUUGCGCGCCAUCAUCCAGCGAUUAUGGUGGUGGAAUGGUGGUUGAACGGUGGACCGAAUGAGAGGGGGGGAAAGGUUUUAAGUUUGUUUUGUUUUCCUUUUCAAAUGGCUAAUAGUUAACUUAGGGUUUCUUUAAUUUUGUUUUAUGAAACAUAUGAAAUGACGUCGUUUUAAGCCAAUCUCAAUGGCUACAAAACGGCACCGUUUCAGUAGCCAUAACCCGAUGGCCCGACCUGUGCCCGGAUAGGAUCCGCGCUUUGGUCUUUGAGGGUUAUUUGCGCGCUAGAUCCCUCUCUUUCGCACUGAUAUCUAAUUGGGCCCUCUGUGCAUCUGCUUUGUUUUUUUUUUAAUUUUUCCUCGAGAUUUGUGCAUUAUUGCAAUCUAAUCCGCGCCUAAACGCAGUGUUUUGGGAUCUAGUAUAUUGCCAGUUUUGGUCCCUGUGCAUUCGUGCGCAUUGCGCUUUAGUCCUUCUUCUAAUUUCAGUAAUUUAUUUUAUUUAUUAAGUAUCCUUUUAGUUUAGUUUUAUUUUAAUUCAGUCCUUUUGAUUUGUAUAAUUCAUCAUUUUUUUUUAAAUUCACUUAAUACUUAUUUUUUAUAAAUGAAUGUAUAUAUAUAUUUUUUUGAGUUAUCAUGAUAAUUUUUAUCCUUUUUUAUAUAAAAUCGUUAUUUUAAAGCUUUUUAUAUCGUAUGGUUUUAAAGAUUUUGUAUCAUAUUUCAUUUAAAUGUUCUUAUAUACUAUUAUACAUAUGUAGUUUAUGAUAAAGUUAGUUUUUAUUCUAUAUAUAUUAUUAAUUCUAUGUUACUUUACAUACAUAAUUUCUUUUAAAUCUAUUUAUAUAUAUUUUAAAACCUUAUGUACAUAAAGUAUAUUUUAUCAUAUAUUUUUUGUUAUUUAAGAACCUUUCAUAUUUUAUAUGUUCUUUAAAUUAUUUUUUAUUGUAUAUAUAUGGUCAACUUUAAAUAGGUAUAUCAUUUUAAAAAUAUUUUGUACAUUAUUUGACUCAAAUUUCUCCUUUUGUAAUAUCUAUUUUAAUAAUCAGUUAUGUAUAUCCUUAGUUUUUUUUAUAUAAAUUAUUUCAAAUUUUGCAUAUGUUAUUCAUUUAUAAUUUUCCAUAUAAUUUUUACAUCGAUCGUUUCGCAUCGUAUUAGUUCCUAGUGUCUAUAUUGUUUGGUAUAUUAUGUGGGGCUUUUGGUUUUCAUAUUGUUAAUACAUUAUAGUUUCAUAUUGCCCGUUAGUCUCUUGUGUUGCUCUUUUAUCUAUGCUUGGAAGCUUACUAUAAUCUUUAUGCUUAUUUGUUUCUUUAAUUAACUAUAUUACUAGUUUUCAUUGUUUGAAUUUUAAAUAUUUGGAUAUGAGCUUAAUGUUAUUUUGUAGAUGUCAAUUUGUUUUUUUUUAUACUAUUUUUCAUUCAUUAAUAGAGUUCGCUAUCAUGUAUAUUGUCUCAUGUUUAUAAUUUCGCCUUUCAUUCGCAAUUAACUCAUUGGGAUUUUUAACUUAUUAAUCCAAACUAAUUAUUCCAUUUUAUUUCAAUUUAAAUUAAUGCGUUUUGAGCUAGUUCUACAAUUGUUUAAUUAUUUGAAAAUUUACUAAAACAAAAGUAAUGAUUGAUGUUUGGGAACUCGAGGAAUCGUGCCCUACCGUGCUGGGUUUCGAUUUUCCAUUUGUCCAAAAUAAUCAAAUAUUCCUUUGAGAUUUCAUCUGUAUUUUCUAAAUUCUAAAACAAGGCAAUGUUCAAUGUUUGGAAAUUCGAGAAAUCGUGCCCUACUGUGCUGGGUUUCGGCUUUUCGUUGGACUAAAUAAUUGGCCAUCCUUUUGUAAUUUUCAACGUAUAAGCUUUUGGAAGUCAAGAAUUAAUCGUGGUUUCGAAGGUAUAAAGGAUCGUGUCCUAUCGUGCUGGAUGUGAUGUUGUAUUCCUUUAAAACAAGAGAAUUUUGACGACCAACUUGAGCCAUUUGGAUGUUUUAAAAAAAUCCUAUUUCAAAGGAUUUUUUUUUAAAUCUUAGAUGUAAGGACAAUACUUAAUCAAUUUGGUACCAAUUUUGGGCAUAGCGAGGGUGCUAAUCCUUCCUCGCACGUAAUCGGCUCCCGAACCUCUUUUCUUGAAUUUCGUAGGCCAAAGUUGAUUUGAAUAGAGUAAAAUGUUUUAUCAGGUGAUCCUAUCACACUAAACAAAAGGAUUGGUGGCGGCUCCACUCGUUUUAAGGUCGAUCCCCGUUUUUUCCAAAAAAAAUGGUUUCGACACUAACUCAAGAAAAUAAAUUCUUAUUACUAUUAGAAUUAAACUAAACUAACUACGAAAAUUCUAUUAAACUAAAAUAAUGAAAAUCACUAAGUUUCUUAAUGAAUUUUAAGAUCUUGAAACUCUAACUUCAUCUAUUUUAGUUAAUCAAUAAUCUAUCAUUCAAUUGUUCAACCUAUUUAAUUACGAACCCAAGAUUCAUUGGCAUUAACUAAAUCCUUCCAGAAUCUAGCUAAGUUAAUCUCUAUCUAUGCUAGGCAAGUUGGGCAAAGUCACUACAAUCAAGCCUAUUAGAUUGAUUAGUGCUUUAGGUAUAUUCCUAUGUUAGUCGCAAGUUAACUUGUUCGUUAAUGCUACUAAAUUUAAUCCUAAUCUAUUCAGUCUAGAUCUAAAUAUCAAAUUUCUCUUCCAAAACAAAUCAAGAUUAUCAAAUUAAUGCAACUUGGUGAUCAGACAAGCAGAUUAAAUAAACACGGGAUUGAAAAAAUAAUUAACAAGGAUUGAAACAAUUGAAAAGAGAAUAAAUUAAUUAACUAAAAAUUGGAUUCAUCAUCAUUCUAAGAAAAUAGGGUUUAGUUUAUAUUGAUUUGAGAAAACAUCACAAGAAGAAAUUUAAAACAAACUUGCAUUGAGAGAAAGUAAAAAAAAAAUCUAGAGAGAAAAAUAAUUAUCAAGCUAAUGUCAAGCGCUCCUGAUCUCUUUUGCUUAUCGUCUUUGCUAACUUUAAGUUCCUUUUGGUGUGAAAGAGUUGUUUCUUAGCCUCCAAAUUGAUUAAAUAAGUUCCUCUUACUUUUAGGGUUUUAAUCGUUCUGCUCUAUCAUACACAAAAUUGCAGUGGAGCGGACUGCUUACUGUUUAAAAAUUCUGAAUUGAAGAUUGUGCUCCACCACAUUGAAAUCCGAUGGAGCAGAAGUCUUUUCUUCGCUACUUUUUACUCUAUACUUCAAGCCAGGGAUUUAAAUAGCGGUCCGAUACCACUAUAGCGGCCGUUAUAUAGCGGUAGUGGCACUGUCCGAAACCGCUACCGCGAUUAACCGCUAUUAUGUUUUACAAUAAGUUGUGUGAAUUUUAAAAAAAAUUCACAACUGCGAUACCUUCAGUGACCGCAAUAGCAUUCGUUAUGUCCGCAGCCGCGAUAAACGCAACGCGACCGAAAACGUGGCCGCGACCGCAAUUUAAAUCUCUGCGUUCAAGCCUUCCAUUCUUCCUCCAAAACUUACAAUGUAGAGAAACAAAUAGCAAGUAAAUUCGAGCUAACUCUGAAAAUGAUAAAAAAAAUUCAAAUAAAAUAUGAUUAAGCUGAAAAAAACUAUAAACUAUAAUAAAGCUAACCUAAAUGCUAAAAUUAUAUCCUAAAAUGCUAUAAAAAACUAUACUAACGUAAACUUUAAAUAUACUAUAAAAUGUAAUAAAACAUUAGAUGCUUGAGUCCAUACAAACCACCUAUUUUUGAAGUUUGUAAUUAUUAUUGUUAGUACACCACACAAAUCGGACCCAAACAUAUUGAUAAUCCGACAAGGGGAAGUUCGAUUCUUUAUAACUGAUAUAACCCAACAAGGAUUGAUAAAAAAUGGUCUAGAUAACCUCAGCCCCAAGAAAUUUCAUUCCACUGUGUGAAUGCCUAUGUUCACACCUUAACUGUUAGUCAGAAGUAGUCUCGAGAAGUUUCCAAAAUCAAUCAACUAGCUUAGCUAAGAGCACGCAAGGAUGCACCCUCUUAAGAAUUAACUAAGAUUAGCCAUAGUCGUUAGAUUCGGGCACUUGUCUAAUUGUUCCUGAGCAAACAUCAAAGCCAUAAAAAACCACCACAAAUGACUCCGCACAGGUAAGCCUUUUACCCUAGCCAAAGUUAUGUUUAUCUUUCUUCAUAAACCUCUUUGACUUGAACAUAGGAACGUGCUCCAAAAUCCAAACUCCAGUGCCCUUUUUUUUCUUUUACCGCCCUUCUAACUCCAGUCCCGCUUCAUCGUAAACUUGGCUCAACAAUUAUAUAAUGUUAUUUUUAUGUAUUAUAUGAUUUACAACACAGUUAAAUUUAUAAUAAUAUAUAGUUAUUAUAAUAUAAUUAUAUUAAAAAAUGUUAAGUUGUCUAUAUAUAUAGUUUUAAUGAAUGAAAAAAAUAUAUAUAAGUAUUAAAUAUCAAAUUAGAAAAAAAAUAUAAUUUUUUUUCAAAAAAAUUAAAAAAAAUGUCGAGCGCAAAAUAGGUUUAGUUUAACCAUUUAUAAUAUGAGUAGAUUCAAGCAAAAUUUUGGACUCAUAUUUCGGGCUAAGUCGAACUUGGGUAAACAUAAAAUAUGUUAAUAUUUAAACUUAUAUGUUGUGGAUAAAGAUUCAUUAUCACUUCUCGGGUCAAAUGAUUAGCAACUUCAUAUCUGGUCUAAGGUUUGAGUCUUGUGGAUAAAGAAAACAAUCCUGGAACAGUUUGGUUAGGUAUAACUUGACAGGACAUUGACUUUAUAUAGAAGGAUCUAAAAAACUACGAAUUCAAAGCAAAAACUAUAAAAGAAUUCCAAUAAAGAAAACAAGACAACAAUGUCAGAUGUUCCACCAAUCCAACAAGUUGGAGAUUUCAUAACGCUCUACUCCAGUGCCUGAUUCUCUCCAUCUUUAUACAUCUUCAACCGAGGGACAUCCAGUCUCGUAUCAUAACAACGUUUAUCUGUAUUCUUAUUACUUCAUACGCAUACCUAAGUCCAUAAACAAAAACCAAAAACCAAUUUAACCUGUCUAAAUAAUCUCCCAAUCAGAUUCACAAAAUUCCAUGUCUUGUGAUUCUCGUUUGUUCCUUUGUCUGGAUAGUGCAUGCUGUUCAUCAUCCCGCUUUGUGAACCUUGACUUAGAAGAAAAGGCAUCCCGGAGCUUUUUCUGUUCCAUAAAACAAACAUAUAUAAUAUCAGGCUCAAGUAACAAAAGUAGGAUAAAGUUUGUCCUUAGCAUUGGCAAAGGGGUCAGGACUCAAGAGAGAGGGAGAGCCGUAUCAUACCUUGUAUGACCUGUGUUUUCCUACGUUGUUAGAGACGGAAAGAAGCUCACUACGGUCUACUAUAAUGCAGCUUUCUUCAAGCUUUGUGUUAUCAAAUGAUGGAACUUCUGGUUCCAUUUUCAAAACAGAUUUAUGGCUAGCCUCUAAUAAACAUGCUGGUCCCAUUUUCACUUCUGGUUCUGGGGCAACAUAUAUAUGAAUAAAUAAAGAGCAUAGUUCAAAAUAUAAAGAUAUAUGCAUAUAACAUACGAAUCGAAUACGUACCUAUCGACUCUAACGAUGUGUCAUCUGCAGUAGAAUCAUUUUCCUUAAGUUCAUUCUUGAAAGCUUUAGAGAAAAUUAGGGAAGCAGGUGCUGUGAACCCUUUAGAAUGAGCCAAGGAAUUUUGGUCCUCUGUGAAUUGUUCUGAAGGCAAGCCUAAAUGUACAUCCUCAACAGAUUUUACAGAAGAGGAAUAGACCAGUUUGGUCUGAGAGUGAUCUUCAUUGGCACUUCCAUUCGAGUCCUCAGAGGCUGCAACGCCGGAAAUUUGCACUGUGUUAAGGUCUUCUAACGAAUCGGUAGAUGAAGCGACCAAGUCUUGCAUUAGUUCAGUGCAGAACUGUUUAACAUUAGAACCAACUGUCUGCAACUGGUUUUCAACAUAUUGCAAUGUUUCCUGACAGAGAAAGCCAUCAAAUUUCAAAAGAGAUCUUAGCAGCAUAGGAAGAAAUAAGAAUUUACAAAGAUGAACUUUACAAAUGUAUAUAAAUCACCCAAAAUGAUCAUCUUUUUCUCCAUAAACAGAUAAACACAGUGCCAUAAUUUAAAGAGGGCAAAAAAAUACCUGGCAGACCAUAUCAUCCACCUCCAUACACAUAGCUUCAAAUUUCUGAUAGAGGUUGCCUACCCAAGCUAUGCCUUUAGCUUUUUUUUCCAUUGAACAACAAGAAGGAUGGUUUUACUUAAAUUUUCAGAUCCCACUUGGGUUUAACAUGAACUGCAUUAUUCAAAGAAAAGGAAUAGAAAUUUAUUCCUAAUAUACAGAUAUGCUACAACAUCAUAUUUCCAGCAAUGCUUGUGAUCAUAAGAUCAAAUAAAGAACAGAUAUGAGAGAUCACAAAAAUAAAGUAAGAUUUGGGGAUCAAAGCAACAAGUCUUCAUUACAACAAACACAGAAAAAAAACUUGAGCCAAGAAAAAGAACUCAAUGCCCUAAAAUAAGAAAAGAAACAAAAAAUAAAUACCUAUAUGAUCAACAUGAAGAAGCAUAAAUAUUUAAUUAAGGAAAAGGAUCACCGAGAUGAUCAACAAGCAGAAACAUUAUCAUGAAGUAAACUAUUAAAGUAAUUAGUGGAUAAACCCCAAAGUUAUAGUGAUCAAUUUAACAGGUUUCGAGACUUGUUACUGCAGGCAAGGCUAAAACUUGGCAUGAACAACUUAAACAAAAUUAUGAAAGAAAAAUGAAGACAAAUUUUUUUCUUUAACACACUUACAGGUUUUUCUCGAGGAAGAGGGGAAGAUAGUGAUUAAACCCUUUGUUCAGUUAGACUAAACUCCAAUUCCAAGUAGGUAGGUAGAAGAAGGAAAUACGGCUAAAUUUUCUCAAUAAAAUAAAAUAAAACUCAAAGGAGAUACCAAUUAUAAUAUAAACACUAAUUAGUAAUUAGCAAUCCAAUUUAAAAAAAUUGAUAUAAUAUAUUUAAAUAAAAUAAUUUAAACUAUUUUUUUAAGAAUUCAACUCUAAUAAAACUACCCAAUUAAAAUUUAUUCUCUUGAAAAAAAAAACGACCUUUAUUUUCUUCUAAAUAAAAAUUAUCAUUUUUUGGUACAAAUUUCUAAAAAUACAUACUUUCUUUUAGUAUACGGAAAUAUAUAUAAAUAAUGAAGAAAGUGAAUGAAGCCAAAAAUAUUAAAAGUGCACCAGCCGGGAAUCGAACCCGGGUCUGUACCGUGGCAGGGUACUAUUCUACCACUAGACCACUAGUGCUUUGUUGUUAAGUGUCAUAAUUUUUAUUUAAUAAAUCAAGUUAAGCAAAAAUGGAUUUGGAAUCUCCAUUAACUUGUUCGAACUUCGAGUGAUGCAAAGUAGGCAGGCAAGAUUUUAUCAUAUAUAAGCAUCAGAGCUAAAAUUAUUGGAUAACAUGAAAUGAAAUGUUCAGUCAUAACAGGAAACGAAAAGAGAUAAGUUCAUAUAAAUUUACACACAACAGUCAUAUGAUCUAAUAUUGAACUCUUACAUCUAAUGAUAUGUAUAUAUAUGACAUGUUUUCUAAAUUUUCAUUUCAAGCCAACCUUUUCACAUUCAAACAAACACCUGCAGAAAAUAAAGGAGAUGUCGCAGUGGAUUGACACAAACGAAACAAUGGCAAUCAUCUUUUUUAUGAAGAUGAGCUUGAGGAAUCAAAGUAUGAGAUCCUCUGCCUCUUUGGAAACGUCGAGUAUGGCAAGUAUUCCGGAGAGAUAGAAGCCUUCUCCAGGACAGAAUUCAAGGCCCGGCGAACGGAACAGGCCAGAUGUUGCCAUGACUCGGCGUCAUCACCAUGUGCGGUGGUUCGGCAACCGGUAAAAACAAAAUCUUUCCUCAGCCGACUACCCAAGGUUGAUAUUUCCGCUUUAACCAUCUUAAUCGGAAGAGCAUCGAGAGCUUGUCGUAAGUCGGUUAGAAGUUGGGGUCUGUAAUCACAACAGAUUGAUGCCUUGAAACAAUAUGUCCCAUUGGCUUCAUCGUUACACGUUUCAACUAUCACUUCAUCAUCAUCAACUGGAACAAGAAACCCUUUGCUAGCUUCAGUUGCAGCCUUCUUUAGUUCUUUCACUUGUCUUACCACCUCACCAAGUAAUGUGGCUUUAUCCAUCUACGAUGACCAUUUGAUUUGACUUGGUUAACUAAUUAUUUAAAAGAAAGAAAAAAACAAUUGAUAUAAGACAGAUUUAUUUGUCAACUAAAUUAGUUUAUAAAUCAAGAAAUAGACCUCAUCAAAAUUCAUAGCAGAACAGGUGUUAUGUUACAUCCCCCCCCUUCCCCCACAUGUCCGAUCAUUUAUUAGCUUACACUUUUCUGACGGUAGGGUUUAACAGAAAAAAAAAACAAUAUUUGCACGAAGUGAUGUCAAAAGAUAUUAUAUUAUUAUGGAGAUGUUAAUUCUUAACUAACACGAAGAUAAGGAGGAGCAGUUGAAAGGUAUCAAGAAAAGAGUUGGCUAACCAUUAACUGCAGACAACCUUGCAUGAUUGAUUGGUUUUGUUUGAAAUAUAUAAAACCAAACUCAUCUGGCACUAAAGGUCUGAAAUUGAGAUCCUAAAGAAACCUUAAUCUCAUAAUUGUCAAACUAUAAAACAUGUAUUAUAAAGAACGAUGCAUCCCCUUAGUUGACUUUUGUUGAAAGACCCGACUUCUGAAGUUUCAUUUGCCAUCGCUGGUCCGACGCCAUGUAUUGUCUUUUAAUGGAGAUUUUGUUUUUUUUGUACUUUGCCGAGAACUAAUAUGCCUCAAUAGGUUUGAUUCACAAAGCUAAAAGAGUGUUGAUUGAUGGAGAUAUGACUUGUAAAGCUCAAAAGAAAAGUGUUACCUAACAAUAAUUAUGAAAGUCACCAACGACUACAUAAUUAAUAUCAUACACUGUAUAAAAACUUCUCCUAUAAAUUUUGCAGAUAAUAUCUCCACCUAUGGAAGCAGUUACAGCUUCAAAGGCAGGCCAUUAUCUAGAACUGAAGGUCUGAAAUCCUAAAUAAACCUUAAUCUCGUAAUUGUCAAAUUGUAAAACAUCUGCUAAAAAGAAUGAUGCAUCCCCUUAGUUGACUCUAGCAUUUAUGAAAUUCAGAGUUGACCUUCCAAGUGCAAAAUUGAUGCAGCAAAUGACCUCACAACAAAUUUUUUUGUUAUAAUUAAAAUAUCCAAAUUCAUUUUACGGUCGACAAAGAUCCUUUCAGGUUCAUAGCUACCCUUCAUCUUCUACCUUAUACUCUACCUGGACAACCUGGUAAUUACAUCUAAUGAUCACUGUUAAACAGCAAGUUUUAAGACUCAAAGAAUCCUAGCAGGCACAUAAUAUAAGCAAACAAUUUAAAUGAACUAUAUUAUCCAUCUAACAUUUAUAAAGAAGGUUGUAAGAAGAACCUUUUCUCUGUAUGGCAAGAGAGUACGGAGGGUGUCCAGGUGAGCAUUAAUCCUUUCUCUCCUCCUCCUCUCAGCUUCGCUAUGACUCUUUAAAGCCGCUAUAACUUUCUCUUCCGACACGCUUUUCUUCCCAACCUUCACCGGUGACUUCACCACCAGCUCACUUUUCUCAUUAUCCAAAACCAAGGACUGUGAAAUCCCAUUGCAUGGACCCAAAUCACGGGAAACGGGAUCGAGGAAACCAGAAUAACAAUUCCCAGAUAAAAAAAUGUUGUCGUUGAAAUAGUAAGCAGCCAUAUAAAAACACACACAAAAAUAAAAAGAAAGCUAAACGACGUUGUAUGAGAGUUUGUUUUUAGGAGCCAGAAGUGAAAGAGAGUAGACCAGGUGGACGUGUGGUGGGAGCGAACCAGAAAGAUAGCUUUUGAAGAACAAAGUUUUGAUGGUUAGCGACUUUCUCGUUGUUGCCGAUGAUCAGUGCUAUGAUUGUUUCGAUGAUAGCUUCCAUAACGCAAGUGAACAAUUCUAGGGAGAUCGUUUUUUCAAACAGAAAGAAAGACUAAAGAGAAAACAUCCACAUUUUCUUCUUGAUCGUCUUGAAUUCCUCCAUAGGUAUGUGUGAUUCCUUUCUAGAGUUUUGAGACGUUUGAACCUCAAAAACAAAACAAAAACAAUAUGGGAUUUUUGGGAUUUCGGUGAAUAUUCAAGAGAGAGCAAACAACAGAGGGAAGAACAAGAGUAUUUGUUUUCUUUGAGCUUUGUAAGCAUAGAAGACUGAACAUAAAUGGGAUCUCUCACAAGGGCUUAAAAAUGGUGUUAGAAGGUCAAUGGAUUAAGCACUGUUGUUUUUAAUUUAUCUUAAUGACCUAAAAAAUACAAAAAAAUAUUUUAUAAUCAUACUUUUAAUCUUAACCACAUAAAACAAUCAUGGUGGUAUAUCUUUUACUUUUUCUAAUAUACUUUAUUUGUUAGGUAACAUCUGGCUUUUUAUAUAAGAUUUGUACUGCAAACACUAAUAUAAUUACAUUAUUUUAAGUUGAUUUUAAUGUGCUCUUGUUGAUAAAUGUGAACUUUUGAGAAAUGUUAUUCAUAUCACUAAAUUAUUUUACUUGUAUAAAUAUAUAAUAUCCAUUUAAAACUUAAUUAUUAAGUUAAUGUUUUAUAAAUUAUAUCAAUACGGAAUUAUGGCAUUAUUCACUAUAAUAUAGAUUUUGGUGUCAUCAAUUUGUCUAAGCUCAUUGUCAAAAGUGGUAGGCUAAAGAUAGAGAGAAAGUUAGGAUGGGAAUUAAAUACUUCCAUUUUAAUAUUAUGAAUGUUAAUAAACUUUUUAUUUAGGUUAGUUUGACAAUGUUUUUAAAAAAUAUUUUUGAAAAGUACCGUGGAAAAAUGCUUUUAAAAAGUGUUUUUGAAAAUUUUAAUUUAAAAUUUGAGUGUUUGGUAUUGCUGUCAAAAAGUACUUUUGAGAAAUAAAAUAUCAAUUUUAGACAUGAUAUUAUAAAGUAAUAAAUAUACAUUUAAAUAAUGUUCAAAUUAGUUAAUAUUAUGAUAUUUUAGUAAUAAUAUAAAAAAAAUAAUUUAUUAUAACUUAUUGUUAAUAUUUUAAUAUAUAAUAUUAAUUUUAAAUAAUUCUAAGUAAUUAAUAUUAAUUGUUUAUUAAAUUUAAUUAGAAUAUAUAAACUAUAUUUAAAUAUUUAAAUAUAAUCAUUAAUUAUUUAUAAUUAGAUAUUGACAGAAUUGUAUUAUUUUAAAAAUGAUUUUUUAUUUUUAAUUAAUAAUUUUAACAUAUUUGUAUUAUUUUAUUUUAAGGAUAAACUACAAAAAUAGUCACUUUUGUUUGCCUCAUGUUACAUUUUAGUCACUUAUGUUUGAAAUGUUACGUUUUAGUCACUUAUGUUAUUAUUUUGUUACGAAGUGAUCACUCUUCCGUUAAGUUCUAUUAUCUCCCUAACGGUAAUCCUACGUGGCAGUCCAACUAGAUAUUACUGAAUCUGCUAAUACGUACUUCAUUCUGAUGAAGUAUGUAUUAGCAGAUUCAAUAAUAUGAUUAUAUAUAUCUAUAUAUUUAAGCAUGUAUCACAUUACAAAAACAAAAUUUUAAAUACUUAUACCUCAUAAAACAUGUAUCUCAUUACAAUAAUUGUUAUUUUCCAAAUAACAUAUUAUUUUAUAAUUUUAUUUCUUAUUUAAUAUUUUAAUUUAAUUUUAAUAAUGCAUACUUUAUCCGGAUGAAGUACGCAUUAGCAGAUUCACUAAUAUGAUUAUAUAUAUAUAUAUAUUUACGCAUGUAUCACAUUACAAAAAUAAAAUUUUAAAUACUUAUACCUAAUAAAACAUGUAUCUCAUUACAAUAAUAGUUAUUUUCCAAAUAACAUGAAAGAAUGAAAUGAAAAGAACCGUAAUAAGCUCACAAACUUGGGAUUUUUACUUUGUCAAGUCCAAGAACCAAAGGUCAAGCAAAAGAGAAAAGCUGAAAAUAAUGUGAAAGAACUUUUUUUAUUUCAUAAUUAUUUCAUAAAAUUAAACAAUCAGAAAAUAACUAAAGAGAAGAAGAAGAAAAAGAGACUCACCAGCCUGAAGAAAAACAACCAGAGAAAAAGUAAAACAAAAGAGAAAUGAGGAAGAAAAAAUCUGUUAGAAAGAAGAAAAAAGAAGGCUAAAAAAGUAAUAUAAUGCCAAAAGUACUUUUGGCUUAGAAAAAGUGGCAGAUUUGCUACUUUUUCACAUGUGAAAAAGUGAUUUUUUUAAGUUAAAAAAUGGGCAAAAAUGGGGUUGUUUUUAGUGCUUUUAACAAAAAAAAAGUGCUUUUUGAGCAGAAGCCCAUCACACAAGUAGAGCCGAAUGGAGUCUUAGUCUUUACUUAAUUGAUAUGGAUAGUAUUGUCAAUGUAAGAAUACAUACCAAUUGAUUUAUGGAUUGAUGAGAGACUAUGAGUAGUUCUAAAUAUUAUGUUAAAAAAAUAGAUAUGAUUAGAACCCAUAAUGAGAUUAUUCAAAAAAUUUUAAUUUUAGACUAACAUAACAUAGUGUCUCGAAUAACUCUUAAUCCAUGGAAAUAACCAUAAACUUUAUUUAUGAUCACUAUUUAUUGCUAUGCUUGAUUGAUUUAUGCAUAGAAAUAAAUUUUUAGAAUGUUGAAAAGAGAAUAAAAGGAAAGAAAGUUUAGUCUCAAACAAAACAAAAGGUUAAAAAGGCAAAUUACAAAAAUCAACAUUGAUACUACCACCAUGCUUGGAAUAGUUCAUAUGUAUCAACUCCUGCUCUAGUCAUAGCAUCUGCCAUUCCGUUUGCUUCACUGUAAACUUUAGCAUCCUCACGAAUCAUCCAUAAAGUUCAUGGUCUCAUGUCACAAUUAACAAUCCCAUUAAUAGCAUUGCCAGAAUCAAAUUAACUAUGUGAAUCCAAUCAGUUUUAGCAAAAAUAUCCAGAGCUGUUGCAACAGCAAGAAGCUUUGCAAUAGUAGGAUUUGUAACCUAAAGUGGACUUGAAAACAAAGCCAGGAUGGAACCUUUAUUAUUUCGUAAAACCCUACCAAAAUCACCAUUGCCAAUCGAAUUCUGCAUUGUGGUAAGUAUUAAAAGUAACAUGCUUUAAUCUUAUUUUUAAUGCAUUUUUGGGUGAUUAUUCGAUGUUAAUUGUGAAUUUUAUGCUCCCAAUUCUUUAAAUUCGUGUUUUUAUGCCUAAUAGAGCAUUUGGGAGCAACAGAAGCGAAAAACGAGCAAAAAUUGAAAAAUCGAAGCAACCUACAGGAGCCACAUGGGUUGACCUUACACUCUGAACUAUGGAAAAUCGUGAUUUUUAAGUUUUUCGGGCAUUCUAAGAUGCAUUUAUGACAAAAUUAAAAAGAUAGGAGAGAGCUAUCAUAGAAUAUUCAAGAAAAUAACUCGAAAAACACCAUUAAAGUCGAUUCUGAAGUAGAUUUCCAUUAGGAUUGAAGAUUCUCAAUUGAUUUUUUAGGAGAUUAUCAUAAGUUUCUUUAGUUCUUUCAGUUAUACUAUUUCUAUUUUUAAGUAUGAAACUAAUUUUCUAAAUACCUAGGGAGAUGAACCCUAUGAUGAAUUUUGUCGUUUGAUUUUUAUUUUACGCAAUAAAUACUUAGAUAUUGUUCUCAAUCAUGUGCGCUUAAUUCUUGGUUUGAUAUUUCUAGAUUGUUGAUCCAUGUUUGAUGUGCUUAAAUCAGAGGAGGGAUAAACCCUAUUUUAGAGUAGAUAUUGCGUAAUUGAGGAAUAAACCCUAUUUGAGAUGAGUUAGUGUGAUGAUAGGGUUUUAAUUUAAAAAAAUCAAUUAAUCAACCUAAAGUAAUUAGGGAUUCCAAUGAAUCAAUAUACUAAAUAAAGAAAUUCUGUAAUUUAGAUUAAUAGUGACAAAUGAAAUCUAGGUGAAUUCUUUCCUUGGUAUUGUUUCGCUUCUUGGUUAUUAUUCGAUUAUUUUCCUGACUUGUUCUUUAUGGUUGUGUUCGUUAACAAUUAAUUUAGUUAAUUUUAGUUUUUAAUCAAUUACUCGGAUUUAUCGAUUAAAUAAUAGAAAGAUAGUAAUUACUAAUAUUUUUAGUCUCCGUGAGAAUAAUAUCUUUACUCCUCGUAACUAUAUUAUUAAUUGAUAGAUACACUAAAUCAUUUUUUAAUUAGUUUCAUAGAUACCACAUUGCUCCAUCAACAUUGAACUUCAAUGAUCCUUCAAUGAUACAAUAGGUGGCGGAGUCCAUAAAACACAACUCCUUAAGAUUUUUUCAUAGUUGAAAAAUGCUUCACCACCCAUGGUUAUAAAAAUGAUCAAUGAGAUCGGAGUUUCCUUCGAUUGAAAUUAGAUCGAAAUUCUUAACUUUAAAUAAUUUGAUAGAUGCUUAUGAAAUGUUUUAAUUUAAGGAUUAGGUUUAAAAAAUUUUAUUUAGAAUUUAUUGUUUAAAAAAUAUAGUUUAAUUGAAGUGAAAUUGUUCAAAUCUCGAUACCCAUUAGAUUACUUUUUUCAUAUAUUCAAUUAAAAAUCUCGUAAAAGAAUUAUAAGGAUCUUGACAUCCUUGACUACUGAAAUUUUAGGUCUUGUAUCAGAUGCAAAAAAACAAACUUUAAAUUCGUUCUCUCAAACUAAAAAAAUGAUGUCGAAGAAGAUUAUGAUAAAUCAGACAAAAAAACGUAGAAAGAAAAAACAAUACAAAAGCAACACGGAAGCAGAGCCUGAUUUCAUCCUAAAAAGGUAUUUGCGUUUUCAAUUGAGAUGGGAUAAUUCUUUAAAUCAAAGAAUAAUCAAUAAUAUCAAAGUAUAUUGCCUCCUGCUUAGAUUGAUAAAUUCAAACAAAAUUGUUAUAUCCUCUAUUCAAUGGGGAGAAAUGAAUUUGGAUAUUUUGAUGAUUCAGAAGGAUUUAACUCUUAGAGAACUAAUGAAAAAAAAUAUUGAUUAUCUAUCCAGUUCGUCUAUCGGUAAAAACUGAUGGACAACUUAUUCUAUAUUAAACUACAAGUAUUUUGUUGGUUCAUACAAAUAAACACCAAAUUAAUGGAAGAUACCAAAAAAAAAUCAUUUUUAUGAAUUUAUGAAACAAACCAAAUAACUCCCAUUUCCCCUCCCACAAAAAUACUCAAAAUCAGAAAUUUUGUUUCCAUGAAUUGUGAAGACAUAAGCCUUUUGAGAUUCAGGGUAUCAAAAUUUAUUAUAUAAUCACAGUUUUAAUCUUAACCACAUAAAAACCAUGAUGUUAUAUCUUUUAAAUUCUUUUAACAUACUUUAUUUGUUAGGUAACAUGUGGCUUUUUAUAUAAAAUAUGUAUCUAUAAUUAGAUUAUUUUAAUUUCAUUUUUAAAUGAAUGAUUAAUUUAUUACAAAUAAUCAGUAUAUAAACAAUACUCUUAAAUUUUUAUAAAUGUAAAGUUCUGGAAAAGCUCCAUUUUAAUAUUGCGUGGCAUGAUGAUGUUUGAGAAGAAGAAGCUAACACAUGGCCCUCACUUCCUCUCAACAGCUUUCUCCAUUGACAUCAAGAUUCCAUCACAUUUUGAUUAAUUACAUUAAUUUUCUUGUUUAAAACAGCAAAACAAAACUUCAAUGGAAGACUUUCUUUUUAUAGGCUAUGAAGGUCUUUCUUUGUUAUCAUCUAACUCAUGAAUUGUUCACAAUUUUCCUUAUGGGCACCAACUUGAUAUAAAAAAUAAACUAGCAGUGUUCAUCAGAAAAAAAAAGAUUUAAUUUUUUUUAAUUAUGAGUUAAUUCGUCCAGAUUCAAUGCAUUUUGUAGAUAAUAUUUAUAAAUUAUAUGAGAUUUUGACCUUUAACUUUGCUUGUUAAUAAUUUAUAUUAAUUUUAUAGUUUACGAAAAUUAAUUUUUUAAAAUUCAUGUUUAUAUUUUUUUAAUAAUAUUAUAUUUAAAAUUUAUAUCUAAAAAUUUUUAUUUCAUUAUAAUAUGUCUUAUCAUUAUAACAUAACUUUUAACUUUCAUAAACUUUUAACAUAUACCUCCAUCUUUUUGCUAUUGGUUAAUGCAAAUAUAAGGAAUUGGUCAUAAUUUUUAUGAUAUAAGUAGUGGGGGAAAAAAAUGAAUUAAGCAACUUUCUAUCUGACGUGAAGAAGACACCUUUCAAUUUUAAGUUUCUGUCAUCAUGCAACUGAUAGCAUGUUGGGCUUUUCUAAGUGUUUAUAUAUGAGUUUUGCUCGUAUAAAUUAUGCAUGCAUGAAUCAGUUUAAGUUUAAUUAAUUAUUCAAUUUUAUGUUUAUAAUGAUUUAUUAUUACCGAAGUUGUAAUUAGAAAAUAUUUGUUGUAAGAAAAAAAAAAGUUAAAACCAAACAAAGUUGUUCCAACAUCAAUUCUGCAAAAAAUCCUAAGUGGGUGGGUGACAGAACAGAAAGCAACCAGAUGUUAAAAAAUAUAAACAGAAAAGGCGAAAAUCUGAACCCCAGCCCACUUACCUCUUAAAAGAAGUGGAAAACUUGUGGCUGUAGAUCAGUCGUAUCUCCGAUCAUAUCUAAUCGGUGAAGCUGAUGGAGGUCUCCAUCAUUGUCACACAAAAGUCGGAGUUUCUAAACAUGAAACAUGUUAAAUAAGUCAUUGUGUGUAUCAUAAUUUUUAAGAAAGGUUAAAAUGUAAUUUUAUCGUUAUUUUAUCAUGUAAUUUUAUAGAAUUUUAAGGGAUUAAAUGAUAAAUUUAAUAUUUUUGAGAGUCAACAUUAUUGCAUAUUCACUUCGUGUAGUCCACUUUAAGAGUUAAAAGGAUUAAAUGAUAAAUCUCUUUCUAUCUUUUAAAGAGGAGCAUGAAUAUAUUUUAGCAUGCCUAAAAUAAAGUUCUUUUGUAUUGAUAAUAAUAUUAAUAUUAAUCUAGUUAAGAUUUCAUAUUAGCUUAUUUAUGGGAAGAAAUAUAGAAAUACAGUGGAAUUUCAAUCCUACAUUGCCAACACGUAUGUGUGUUUGUGUGUACAAAAGUCAAUGAAAGGCUACAAAUGAAAACAAAGAAGUAAUGGUAUUAUGGUAUAAACAAAAGCCAAAUCAACGAAUGAUGAGUACUAGUCUUUUUUGAAAAGGUCUUACGAAAGGGCAACUUAACGACCAAAUUGCAGAGCCAAAUACGAUAAUGGCAAUUUUACCUUUUAUUUGGUGUCUUCAACAUUUGAAAUAGCCCCUCAGAGCAUCCAAAAGACACUGCCAUGAAUUUAAGUUUUGUCCAAAGAUAAAAAUAAGUUAAAAUAUGCCCAUAAAUCUUUAUACUAUUUGAAAUUUUAGAAUUUAGUGUUUAUAUUUUUUAUUUUAAAAAUUUAAUUUUUUUUUAUCUUUAAAAUUUUAAAAUUCAGAUCGAACUGUUAAUAUUUUUUCUUCUAGUUAAAUAGAUUUUUUAUUUAAUAAUUUUUUUUUAAAAAAAUUAUAUACAAAGAUUAAUUAUAAAUUUUUUAUCGUAAUUCUAAUUUUGGAUGUUGCUAUUACUUGCAAACUUUAAGAGUUGGGCUUAGGAUGACUUGGUUUUUAUAUAUUUGUAUGACUUUAUGAAUUUAAGAAAUUUUUCAAAUUAAUAUGUUUUAUUUGGAUAUUGUAUUUUUCCUUUUGCUUUAAUUGUUCAAUAUUUAAAAAAUAAUCAUUUAUUUUGUUUUAGAUGAUUUUCUAUUAAAAGAAAUUACUUUUAUUAGUAAUAUUAUUCACAUUACAUAACAAAUUAUGUUUAAUAAUUUGUGAUAAGUAUAACACUAUUUAUCGUAUAAUUAAAUUAAUAUAUUAUAUCAUUAUAUAUUUUUUAUAUUAUCAUUCCAUUUAAAUUUUAUUUUAUAUAUUUAUUAUAUAUAAAUAAUUAUCAUAUUAAAAAUAUUUUAUAAUCAUAAUUAAUAUUCUAAAAAAAUUAUUUCACUUUAUUAUUUAACAUAAUUUAAUGUAAAUAUAUAAUGUUUAUGAACACAUUUCAUUAAAAAUAUUAUUAUUUAUAUUAAUUAUUAAUGUCUAUUUUAACUGUUGUAUUAUAGAUAUGGGCUUGAAUUUAAUUUCUUUUAGAUUUGAAUCAUAUCAAUCUCGUAAUUAAACUUUUGAAUUUGAGACUGUUUAGAGGCAAUUAUAGGGGGUCUCCGCCUCCUUUAAAAUAAAAAAUUAUCAUUUAAAUCUUUAAAAUUUUUUUAAAAUUUUAAAUUAAUAUAAAUAAAAUUCUACUUUAACCUUUUAAAAUUAUAAAAAUUUGAUUUAAUUCUUUUAAAAUUAUAAAAAUAUAAAUUAUAAAAAAUUAAAAAUUCAUUCGAACCAAACAAUUGUUCAGGGUUUUUAGUGGGACUGUUUUGCCGAAUACCGAUGUAGUCAGGAAAAAGAAAAGCGGUAUUGGAAACAUGUCAGAUAAGGAAUCCCAUAAUAUUUGUUGAUAUAUACAGUACAGAUUUCAAAACGAAAUAGCAAACGAAGGUGAAUAUAUAAUCUUCAAUAUCCACUUAUAUUGCAGUAACAAAUUUACCAUGAACUAAAAUUUUUAUAUUUAGGAGGAUUUGCAAAUUACAAGAAUCAUAAUUGUCAUGAUCACUCGAGUAUACAAAAAAUCAAGCUAUAUUUCUACGUAAACCUCAAUUUCUGUUUAAACUCUUGGGUUCUUAAUCUUAGAGACCCAAAUCAAAUGUUCUUAUUAUAAGAUGCAAAUCCAUAAUAUCUCGUUUGAUUAAUAAAUGGGAAAGGUUGAAAAAAAAAUUAAGAAUUUUUGUUUUAUACAAUUGAGAAGUUGAGGAUUGGUUUUAAGAUAGAAAUGCCAUACAAGUGGGUUUUUCUUUUUUUUUUAUUUACUUCAAAUAAUUAUAGCAGGGAGGGCUUGUAAUUUGUAAGGUUGCAGGUUUCGUGUAAAAACACACAGCCUACAUUAGCAUGCUAACUUUCUCCAUCAGUUAUUCUGUAUUAAAAUAUUUUAUACAUCGGAGUAAUUUUGUUAUGCAGGUUUCAGAUAAUUAUUAAAUUUUUUGGACCCUUAUUUUGUGUCGCUUAUACAUUUUACCAACCUUGUAGGAACACACGCAGGUUUACUAGGAAAAUAAGCAGCUUGAUUCAUCUACUGAAAGUACAAUAUUGUAUAAAUCAAAGGAUGGAGUCCUUGUCAGGAUAUUUUAUUUUCCAGGGCACGUAGAAUUGUGGGAAUUUGUCUGUUACAAAAUCCAGGAGAAGCUAUAUAAACCACAACGCAUGUCGGGAUUGCUAUAUCUCACAUACAUUCCUUCAACAUUACAUUUCUUCUACUUUUCUUGUGGACUCUACUUAAUUACAAUGGCUUCUACAACUCCCUGCUUGGCGUUGCUCUUUGUUUUGGGAAUCUGGGCUUUUCAGGUCUCGUCUCGUUCGAUUCCUGAGGUAUCCAUGUCGGACAAGUUUGAACAAUGGAUGGCUAGUUAUGGCCGAGUUUACCAGGAUGCAUUUGAGAAGGAUAAACGGUUUCAAAUAUUCAAGGAAAAUGUGGAGUACAUCGAAUCCCACAAUGCUGGUCAUACUGGCAAAAAGUACAAGCUUGGUGUUAAUGAAUUUACAGAUUUGACCAACGAGGAGUUUAAAUCAAUGAGGAACGGUUAUAAAAUGCAACGUUCCACCAUUGUUGCGUCUUCAAAAACAUCUUCUUUUAGGUAUGAAAAUGUUACAGCAGUUCCACCUAGCAUGGAUUGGAGAUCUAAAGGAGCUGUUACCAACAUCAAGGACCAAGGCCAAUGUGGUGAGUCAGACUGACAGAAUUUGUAUAUAAAGAAAUCAAACUAAUCAUGAUUCCAUAUAUAAUGCUUAAUAUUUGCUUUGAAUGAUGUAGGGUGUUGCUGGGCAUUCUCAGCUGUGGCAGCCAUGGAAGGGAUCACCAAACUCAAAACUGGUAACCUUGUCUCACUAUCAGAGCAAGAGUUAGUUGAUUGUGACAUCAAUGGGGAAGACGAAGGUUGCAGUGGGGGUCUCAUGGAUGAUGCUUUUGAAUUUAUCAUUACAAACAAAGGACUUACAACUGAAUCCAAUUACCCUUACCAAGGAGUUGAUGGAACUUGCAACAAGAAGGCAGCUGCCAACCAUGCCGCUCAGAUCACCGGUUACGAAGACGUACCUUCAAAUAGUGAGUCAGCACUGUUAAAAGCAGUGGCUAAUCAACCGGUUUCGGUUGCCAUUGAUGCCGGUGGUGCUGACUUCCAGAACUACAAAAGCGGUGUUUUCACCGGUGAAUGCGGCACCUCUCUCGACCAUGGGGUUACAGCAGUUGGGUAUGGAGAAGAUGAUGAUGGGACCAAGUAUUGGUUGGUGAAAAAUUCUUGGGGCACCAGCUGGGGAGAGGAUGGAUACAUUAGAAUGCAAAGAGAUAUUGAUGCUGAGGAAGGACUCUGCGGCAUUGCAAUGGAAGCCUCUUACCCAACUGCUUGAUGCAGCACAAUGGCUGCCUUUUCAUUAUUGUCGGGAACAAAUUAGCCAUCAUGUGCUUAUUAGCUUAUUUAUAUAAUCUGAAACUACAUAAAGAAAACAACUAAAAUGGCUUUCCAUGUAUAGUUCCAAUAUUAUUGUUCUGUACUUUGUCACUUAAUCCCUUGAGAUUAGACACAAAAAAAAAAAAGGUUCGUUCUGUAAUCCUGCUGUUCCCCCCUUCACAUUCAUUUACUAUUAUAUAUGUUAAAUGAAGUUGGCGUUUUAGAUGAGAUUUAAACUCAUUGUAAGUAGCACAUUGUUUUAGAUGAGAUUUACCCUAGAUCGAACAGUAAUUUAAAUUCGUAGAUUGUUAAAUUGGUAUCGAUAUCAAGUCUUGCUAUUGGUACUUAUAAAAAAAAAUAUCGUUAUCGUGAUUCUAUGUAUUGAUACCCAUUUAUCUUAACUUGAUUUUUGUAAAUUCAAAACUAAAAAGAAUAUUGGUACUUAUCUUGGAUAUUGAUACUUGGACUCAUAUUUUGCAAUGUUGUAAUUUAACCUCUCAUUAUGUUUAAAUUGAUUUAUUUACAAUCAUGAACCUAAUUAAGUUGCGUUUUUGGUUGUAAUCCAUUGUGCAUGAAAUUGAAUAAUGAAUUGAUGAUUUUAAAAUGAAUUAAUUGGUAUAAACUGAAUUCAAUUGUUUCGAUGAUUGAUGUAGCAUUUCAUAGCUUGAGCUUGACGAUCGGACUGGGUAAGAGGUGUUACAGUAAUAAGUUUUAUUUGAUUGACAUUCUCUAAUAAAAAAAUAUUUAGACUUUUUAUUGAUAAUCCAUGGAGAUGAAAAUAAAUUUUUUAGGUACUGUAAAUGCCCAAAUUUGAUCGGGACCAAUAAGCCCAAAUUAGACAAAAGCAAAAACAAGCAAAAAAACUAAAUUAAAAUGUCCAAUUAAAAUUACAGCCCAAAUGAACAAAUCCCUAACCCAAAAAUACAUGGCCCAAUGGCCCAAAACCUAGACCUAGGAUCGGUCAAACAGAAGCCUAGGGUUUCUCUCGCGCCGCUCCCCCCCACGUUCAGCCUCCAAGCGCCAUACGACCACCAGCGCCUCCGUACGAUGCCAGCAAACUCCGUACCUGCAAACAAAUGCAAAAACAACAGCAAAACAGAGACAAAAAAAAGGAGCAGAUUUUUGUAUUUUUUCUUUUUUUCUUUAUUUUGCUUUCGGCUACAAAAGCCAAAGAAAAAAAAUGUAAUGUACACACAGAGAUCAAGAACAAAAAAUCAAUACAAAGAAAAAAAAGAAAACAGAUUCACAAAAAAACAGAGAAAUCAAAUACUCUCAAAGGUGCCUCUUUUAUUUUUAUUUUUUUUUCUUUUCUGUUUUGAUUCGAAAUGAAGUGCAUUAACAGUAAUAAAAACCUCACCUUCGGUUCAUCCACCGACGCGAUUGGGAACCUCUAGUAACCCAAAUGUCACAAAACCCAUUCGGGUUUCGACGAGGGUUAGGGGAGUGCGACGAAUAGGAAGGUCGUUUUACUUGCGAUUUGCCUUUUUCUUUUGCUCUUUUUUUUUUGAAACAAAACCUUUUUUUGGAAGCUUUUAAAAAGGUAUCUUUUAAAAACUUUUAUUGCUCUCCGGCACGGCGGAGCCACGGCGGAGCUACGGCAGAGCCACCGCGCGAGCUCGCUGGUGCCCAGGUAGGAGGAAAGGAGAACGAGAGAGGGCCUAAAAGGAGCUCUCAGUUUUUUUUGAAGAAAAGAAAGGGGAAAAUGAAGUUUUUUGUAAAAUUUGGCCUUUUACAACACUAGUAAAACGGCGCCGUUUCAUUUAGCUGCAAAACACCCCAAAACGGCGUCGUUUAGGCGCUAGACCCGUGCGACCCAACCCGCGAGCAUCAGGAUCUGCGUGUUUCUACUAAUUUUGAUAAUUGCGCGCGUGAUCCUUCCGUAUUUUAUUAUGUUUUAAUUCAAUUUGUUUUUAUUCUUAAUUUAUGCCUUUGAAUUUCAUUUCAGUUUCAAUGUGGUCCAUUUGAAACAGCGCGUUUUGGGAGGGCGGGGUUAUUCCCCACUUUAGUCCCUACUCAUUAUUUGCGUGUUUCGAAUCGGUCCCUUGUUACAUUUUUAUACCCGAAUUCCCCUUUAAAUUUUAUUUGAAUUUUGAUUUAGUCCCUUUUUAUAUACCAGUGUUUGCCUUUUUAGAAUUUGGACCUUAAAAUUUCAUUUUAUUUUUCAAUCAAGCCAUUGUUCGUGUAAAUUUGAACUUUUUUUUUAUUUAUUUAAAACCAUUUUAGUUAUUUUAAACUUUGUAUUGAACUGUUUUAUGUUACUAAUUUUGAAUAGUUUUAUAUUCAUUUUGUUUUAAAUAUUUUUUUAUAUACAUAUAUAUUUUAAAAAUUGUUUUAUUAUUUGUUGUGAGUUUUGUUAUUUGUAUAUUAUUAUUUUAAACUUUUAUGUAUAUAUUAAUAUUAUCUAUUUUAAACGUUUUUAUAUAUAUUAUUUAUAUAUAAUCCUUUUUAUAUAUAUACAUUAUUCUAUUUCAGAUUUCCUUUUAUAUAUUAUAUUUUGAACUAUUUAUAUUUUAUUUUAAAUAUAUUUUUAAACUUUAUUUAUUUAUUUUAAAAUAUUUUAUUUAUUAUCCAUUUUAAGAUUCUUCUUUCGUAUUAUUUAUCUUAUACUUAUAAAUGUAUAUAUAUAUCUAUCUUAAACUAUAUAUAGUCAUUCUAUUUACCACUUAUUUCUUAUAUAUAUCUUAUCAUAUAUUUUUAUUAUUCUUUCAUAAUAAAUAUAUUAUUUAAGUUAUCAUGUACAUUGUCAAUUUUUAAAUGAAUUUGUGUUUAAAAUAUUUUGCAUAUAAUUUGAUUCAAGCUUUUAUUCUAUAAUAUUUAUUUCAAUAAUUAUAUAUAUCCCUAGUUUUUAUGCAAAUUUGUCAACUUAUAUAUUAUGUGUUCAUUAAUUCAUCAUUAUUUUGGAAAGUGUUGUAUACCACACUAACUUCUAAAUUCCAUUUUGUUUUGUACAUGUUUUGUUGAUUGAUUUAUAUGGUGCCAUACAUUGUCGUUGCAUAUUAUUUAUUCAUUGUUUUGUAUUGUUAUAUUAAUUAUUCUCCGUACAUUAUUGAAAUUAGGUUAUAUUUUUGGUUAGUUUUAUUUAAUUAUUUAUUUUGUUAGUUGGUUAAAUAAGACACAUUAUCUUCAUUCAUCAAGUAUUGUAUCUUAGGUGUGUACAUUAUCCCAUAUCAUUGUUUUUCACUUGGUUUACGAAAUGUUGUUUUAUAAGGUCCAAAUCUUUAAGAUUAAUUUCGUUUUACCAUAUCAUUGUUUUCCACUUGGUUUAUGAAAUGUGGUUUUAUAAGGUCCAAAUCUUUAAGAUUAAUUUCGUUUUAUUUCAAGUCGAAUUAAUGCGUUUUAAACUAGUUUUAUAAUUAUUUAUUUAAAAAUUCUUUAAAACGAAGGCAAUGUUCGAUGUUUGGCAAUUCGGGAAAUUGUGCCCUAUCGUGCUGAGUUGCAAUUUUCCGUUUGUUCAAAAUAAUUGAAUAUUCCUCUAGAAUUUCACUCAUGUCUUUAAAAAUUCUUUAAGGCGAAAGAAAUGUUCGAUGUUUGGCAAUUAGGGGAAUCGUGCCUUAUCGUGCUGGGUUACAAUUUUCCGUUUGUCCAAAAUAGUCGAAUAUCCCUUUAAAAUUUUACUCAUAAUUUCUAAUUCUAAAAUAAGGCAAUACCCAAUGUCUAGAAAUUCAAGGAAUCGUGCCCUACUGUGCUGGGUUUCGGUUUCUUCGUUGGACUAAAUAAUUGAGCAUCCUUUUAUGAUUUCCAACAUAUAAACUUUUGGAAGUCGAAAUUCAUCGUGUUUUCGAGGGUAUAAAGGAUCGUGUCCUAUCGUGCUGGAUGUGAUGUUGUAUUCCUCUGAAAUAAGAGAAUUUUGACGACCAACUUGGGCUGUUCAAAUGUUUAUAAAAGGAACCACAUUUCAAAAAACAUUUUUAAAUCUUAGACAUAAGGACAGUAUUUAAUCGAUCUGGUACCAAUUUUGGGCGUAGUGAGGGUGCUAAUCCUUCCUCAUACGUAAUAGACUCCUGAACCCGUUUUCUCAUAUUUACAUAGGCCGAAAUUGAUUUAAAUGGAAUAAAAUGCUUUAUUAGGUGAUUCAAUGACACCUAAACAAAAAAGAUUGGUGGCGACUCCAUACUUUGUUUUCAAAAAGUUGAUCCCCGUUUUUUUAAAAUUAAAAAUGGUUUCGACAGGUACAAAAGUACAUGUAUACAAAAAAGAUAUUAGUCAAAAUUAAAUAUAGGUGGAAUGGUAAAGGUUUUGUUUAUAAAUUUUCACCAAUACGAGUCUUUAAAGCCUUGGGUAUUUUAAAUAGUGAUUUUUAGUUGAUAUGUCUAAAAAUUUUAUAUAAAAAUAUGAAAAAGACAACAAGAUCAUUAGAAUAUUACUAAUUAAAAAAAUAAUUUUUAGGUUUUUUCUUAAUAAAAUUGGUAUUUGUUUAACUCAUGACACAUACUCAAUCACAAGCAUUGUAAUAAUAAAUAUAUUUUUUGACACAAUACUUACUUUUAUCUAUAAUCUUCAAACCCUUAAACCGGAGGAAAAGAAUGCACUUAAGUGUGCUUAAACUCACGAAAUUUUUAUUGUUCCAAUAGCAACGGUAACAACUGAAUAUAAUAAUAAUAACGAGACAUUGUAUUAGUAUAGAUAGUUAAUGAUAAUAAUUAUUUUAUAUUAGAUAAUUAGAAAAUUAAUUUGAUGGUGUAAUUCCACAAAAUGCUUUUCGUCAAGUGAAAAAGGUUAAAACUAUUGUCUUAGGAUAAUCCGAGGGAGGGCUAGUAAUUUGUAAGGUUGCAGAUUUGAUGUAAAAACACCUCGCUUGCCUUAGCAAAACGCUAGCUUUCUCCAUCAGUAUUAAUAAAUUUUAAACAUUAACUAGACGAAACGGAGUAAGUUUCUUAUGCAGGUUUCAGAUAUUUAUUAAUUGUUUUGGAGCUUUAUUUUGUCAUAUUUUAACUAUCUAUUAGAACGCCAUUACUUGUCGCUUUUGCCAAACUUGUGGGAACACAUGCAGGACUACUAGGAAGUAGGAACAUAAGCUGCUUGAUUCAUCUACAGUCAGUUAUUUCCAAUAAUUAUAGAAUAGAAAUCUUCUAAAAGAAUAAAAUAUAUAAAUCAAAGGAUGGAGUCCUUGUCAGGAUAAUUUCCGGAGCACGUAGAAUUGUGGGAAUUCGUCCAUUUGAAAUCUAGAAGAAGCUAUAUAAACCACAACCCAUCUUUGGGAUUCAUAUAUCUCACAUUCCUUCACUAUAAGCUUUCUUGAAAUUUGCUUGUGGACUCUUGUUUCUAGCAAUGGCUUCUGGAAGACAUUCCUUGGCCUUACUCUUUAUUUUGGGAAUUUGGGUUUCUCAGGCCUCGUCUCGUUCGAUUCCUGAGGUAUUCAUGUCUGACAGGUUUGAACAUGGAUGGCUAGCUAUGGCCGAGUUUACCAAGAUCCAUCCGAGAAGGAUAAACGAUUCCAGAUAUUCAAAGAAAAUGUAGAGUACAUCGAAUCCCACAAUGCUGAUCAUACUGGCAAAAAGUACAACCUUGGUGUUAAUGAAUUUAAAGAUUUGACCAACGAGGAAUUUAAGUCAAUGAGGAAUGGUUAUAAAAUGCAACGUUCCACCCAUGUUGCGUCUUCAAAGACAUCUUCUUUUAGGUAUGAAAAUGUUCCUGCCGUUCCAUCUAGCAUGGAUUGGAGAUCUAAAGGAGCUGUUACCAACAUCAAGGACCAAGGCCAAUGUGGUAAGUCAGAACGACAGAAUUCAUAUAUAAAGAAUCAAUCUAAUCCUGAUUCCAUAUAUAAUUUUUAAUAUUUGCUUUAAAUGAUGUAGGGUGUUGUUGGGCAUUCUCAGCUGUUGCAGCCAUGGAAGGGAUCACCAAACUUAAAACCGGUAACCUUGUCUCACUAUCAGAGCAAGAGUUAGUUGAUUGUGAUAUCAAUGGGGAAGACGAAGGUUGCAGUGGGGGUCUCAUGGAUGAUGCUUUUGAAUUUAUCAUUACAAACAAAGGACUUACAACUGAAUCAAUUUACCCCUACCAAGGAGUUGAUGGAACAUGCAACAAGAAGGCAGCUGCCAACCAUGCCGCUCAAAUCACUGGUUAUGAAGACGUACCUUCAAAUAGUGAGUCAGCGUUGCUGAAAGCAGUGGCUAAUCAACCAGUUUCGGUUGCCAUUGAUGCUGGUGGUGCUGACUUCCAGCACUACAAAAGCGGUGUUUUCACCGGCGAAUGCGGCACCUCCCUAGACCGUGGGGUUACAGCAGUCGGGAAUGGAGAAGAUGAUGAUGGGACCAAAUAUUGGUUGGUGAAAAAUUCAUGGGGCACCAGUUGGGGUGAGGAUGGAUACAUUCAAAUGCAAAGAGAUAUUGAUGCUGAGGAAGGACUCUGCGGCAUUGCAAUGGAAGCCUCUUACCCAACUGCUUGAUGCAGCACAGUGGCCGCCCUUUCAGUAUUACUGGGGACGAAUUAGCCAUCAUGUGCUUAAUUAUUAGCUUUUUCAUAUAUAUAACUAUAAGAAAAACAACUAAAAAGGCUUUCUAUGUAUAAGUUUCAAAUUAUUGUUCUGUUCGAUCUUGUUACUAAUGCCUUGAUAUUAGAAAAAGAAAGCUUUACUCCAUACUUUUAUUGUUCAACAUCUUUUUACAAUUAUAUACUUUCAUUGAAGUUGACUCCUUAUAUGAGGUUUAAACUCAAUUUAACUGGCACAUCCGAAUUAAGUCUAAUCGCUUUGGCAUCAUAGAUGACAUUUAAGUUGAAUAUAGUAGGCAGAAUUGAUGUAAGUGUACGAAGAUUUCAAUGAUAUCAAGGGAGUAGAUAUCAUUUAAUGCCUUUGUCUAUCAAAUCACCAUGGAAAAACGGUUCUGCAUUAAAUAGGAAAUCACAGAACAUAUCAGACAUAUAUGUGUGUAUAUGAACAAGAAAUGUAUACAUAACCAAAAUAAUAUUACAGAACGAGGUUGCUUCGAGUUGUAUUAUUUUGGUCACUGAAUAUGCUGUUAACUUAUAAGAAUGUAUCAGGAUGAACCAGGAACCAAUUGGGGGUUAGUUUAAGCAAUGAAGCCAUAAGGAAAGAAAGAAAAAAGGCCAAUGAGAUUGUGAAAGAAUAGCAGGUAGCCGACAAGCAAUAAUUUCAGGUCUCGAGUUGCGGUUUCUAGUCCUAGCAUUCUCAUCCACCCACGAAAGCACAAAGGAUAUGAGCUACCAACUACAAGGGAAAGCAUAAUAUAGUUUUUUCUUUUACUCAAAGGUUAACCUGAACCUGUAAUUAUCUCCCUGAACCGGUAAGAACAUCGAACAAUCCACAGCAACUUAAGAACGAGGUUGUUUGCACUGUCGGUGGAGUUGAAGCAACAAGGGGCUGUGAACCAAUUCAGGAAAUAAACAAGAAAUCACUUUUCAGUCAAAUAAGUGAACAUUCGAAUCCAAAACUAUAGAAAAGAAAAAGGGCAAGAUAUACCUGCUUUUUAGAAUGAUCACGGGGCUCGGAAUCUUGGGUUUUUUCCGUAACGUUACUAGCUUCAGCAGGUGGAGAGCUCGAGUAUGAGAAAACUUGUCCUUCAUUUCCUUCCAAUUCAACCCUUGAAAUCCCAUCUGAUGAGAGCAAUAACUUCACUUCACUUUCAUUCAACCCGGAUUUGUCCGUGGAAAUUUCAGUACCAUGAGUUUCAUCUCCAGCAACUUUCAGAGCUUCUGCAGACAUGACGGUACCAAAAACAUAGGCUUCUUCCCUUGACUUCUUCUUAGAGGCUCGAGAUUCGUCAUCUGAACUACUGGUGCAGCUAGAAAUCUUAUCAUGCUCAACAUGCUGAAUAGCAACAUGCGUGUUCUCGACAUCAUCCAAUCCACAUUUCUCUCUGCUUUCUGCAUCUCUAGUGACUUUAUCCACAUACUUCUCCAUGGUUACAUGCGAUUCAACAGGCGAUGGCGCUCUUUCCCUUUCUUCUUCACGGUGAUUGAACCGAUGGUGGUGAUCAUGGUCAUCCUGAGAUGCAGGGGAACCAACAUCACCACCAUAAGUGUCCCCUUCAUCUUGGCUUUUGCUGUCAUCAUUUCCUAGCACCAUUUGAUGCAAUCACCACGCAAACAAGAAACUUAUCAAACCAAAACAAACACUACAAAAAACUGAGUGCCCAGAAUUUUGAUGAAAAUAUAGCAACAAUCACCAGUAAAACAAAACACAAAGUAAACAGUUAACCAGGGCAUGAACUUAUUAUGAACAUGAUACUAGCCAUCAAACAUUCAAAGCAAGCAUGCAUGAUUUAGUUAACUAUAAAUCUCCAGCAUGGUAGAAUCCAAGAACUAAAUGCCACUUAUAAAUUAAAAACAACAGUACCCAUCUUCCCAAAUCAAGCAAAAAACAAAAACCCAAAACAAAAUUCCCAAUUAAAAAAUCCAUGUACCAUGUGGAUUGUUAUUAGUUGAUGAAUUUUCAUUUUUGGCUGCUUGUUCCUUAUUUUUCUUAGCAGCUUUUCUCUUCUUAGAACCUGAUGGCAUAAUUGCUUCCCUCCUCCCUUUCUGGGUACUUAAAAACCUUUUCCAGUUCCCCCUCAAAGAUCGUUUAGGCUGCUAACUACUUGCCUGCUGUAAUUGUUGCUCACUUUCUGUGAAAAUUUAGCUGUACGAAAGAGCAAGUAAUGUUUAGUAGCUGUACGUUGAGAAAUUAUACUAGAAAUUAGUGGCGAUUAGCAAAAGCCAAAGCGUCAGUCACUGUUACUUGCUGGAAUCGAGAAACUGGUUUGCCUAUACGCUUGGAUACUCUCUUCGAGAGAAGUUUGGAUUAUUUAGGAAUUAUGAAAGAUUUUUUGCAUUGAUGGCCCCUGGGGCCAUUUGGAGGGUGUAUUUAAAUGAUGAAAUUUGGAAUGAGUGGUGUGGUUGAUGUGAAUUUUAAUGUUAGUAAAAUUAAAAUUUUUGGAGAUUUUCAUUGGUUGGAUAAGAGGAGUUAGGUGUAAUGGUGAAAUUCGACUUAUUGCUUCAAAUUUAAGAUAUCCUAUCAACAAUCAAUUGAGCAUAAUGGUGAAAUUAAAAAUUAUAAAAAUACUAUGAAUAUGGUUUGAUUUUAUCAAAGUUCAAUUCAAGGUGAUAUGUUUUCUAAUUAUGCAAUAUAUUGCUUUAUUUUUUAUACAUUAUAUAGUUUACAUCACAUAAAAAUUAAAUAUAUACGUGUAUUGUCAAAGUAUUAUAUUUAAAGUUUUAAUAAAAAAUUAAAAAUUAAAAAAUAUAUUAAAAUAAAAUGUAUAAAGUAAAACUUAGCACUUAAUAUUUAUCUAUUUUGUUACUUUCUUUUUAAUUUGUUGAAAUUUUUAAUUUUUUUUUACUAAAUAUACGUGAAUGGUCAUGCAUGUCAUCACGUUGGUCUCGUUUCUAAAAAAAUUAAUAUCAAACAGACAAAAAAAAUAAGUGAAGUACUAAUUUAUAUUUAUGCCAAUUAAAAAUAGUAUAAACCUUCGCAACUUAGUCCAUAUUUUGAAUUGUAUUUGAACAAAUAUAAAAAUGUAUAAUGAUACAUGGUCCAACACAAGCACCGUGGGAUCCGAUCCAUGUUCGGCCCGCUCCAUAUAUAGAUAGGAUUUAAAAUUAAAGGUGGGGCUCACGUGACCGUUGACAAAAAAUAAGUUUUAAUUUGAUGAGAUCAAAGAGGUGAGUAUGAAUCCAAUAUAAUAUGUAUGAUUUGAAAAUUAAAAAGAAAACUAGUUUGACAUCAAAUAUAUUUUUAUAUAUUUUGUCAGUUUAAUAUUUAUUUUUUAAUUAAAUUUAAUUAUUAAUUUUUCAAAAAUAGUUAAAUCAUUUGUUCUUAAUACAAAUAAUGAUAAAAACAUUAAGAGUCAAAUAAAUUUUUUAAAUGAAAAUGACGGCUAAAGCAUUAAUUCGUGGGGUGAUUGCUCAUGUAGACUUAAUGUUAAUAUAAAGUGAUCACUUAAAUUAAAUAUUUAACUUUUGAAAAAGGUCAAAAUUACAAUUAUUCCAUUUAAAUAAAAGCUAAAAAAACUAAAUUAAACAAUUGACAAUUUAUAAUGCACUAUAAUCAUAAUUAUACCAUUGUGGCAAUGCAUCCAUUUUUUGGGUGCAUCCGAGAAGGAACUAGCUAAAGAAAUUUAUAAAACUAUCUUAUGAAACUUUAACCUUCAACAAGUAGUUUUUCAUGAUGUCUAAAGAAAAGAGGUAAAAAGGUAAAUUCAAAAACCAAUCCUUUUGGCUCUAAGAAAUUGAUUUCAUUUGGAGUUAUUUUGAGAAAUUGGAGUUACAGUUUUGAAGAUCUUCUUCUUCAUCUGCAUUGUGCGUGUGUUCACUUGACAUCUUCUACAAAUAGUCAAGCAACGUAAUAUGCAUCACAGUAUGAAGUUAAUUUCUGCCUUGUGUUGAAGAUGUCAAGUGAAGUGUCACCAAGGAAGCAUAAGCCCCAUCGGUUAUAUUCAUCAACGCAUCGUUUCUACCGAAGAUGUCAAGUGAAGUGCCACCAAGGAAGCAUAAGCCCCAUCAGUAGUAUUCAUCAAUGUAUCGUGUCUACCUUUCUCAACAAUGACUCCGUUUUUCACCACCGCGAUAAUAUCAGCACCCUUUAUCGUGCUAAGGCGAUGAGCAACAACAACAGUCGUUCUGUUCACCAUAACCGCGUCCAAUGCCUCCUGCACCACACGCUCCGAUUCUGCGUCUAUAGCACUUGUUGCCUCAUCAAGCAAAAGGAUCUUGGGGUCCUUCAAAAUUGCUCUAGCAAUGGCUAUACGCUGUUUUUGCCCGCCGGACAACUGAAUCCCCCGUUCUCCGACCGAAGUGUCGUAACCGUGCGGCAACGAACUGAUAAACACAUGUGCAUUCGCUGCUUUCGUAGCUGCCAUGAUCUCUUCUUCGGUUCCAUUUCCUUGUUUGCCAUAGGCUAUGUUGGUACGUAUGGUCUCAUUGAAAAGUAUUGGCUCUUGGCUAACCAAUCCCAUUUGUUGCCUAAGCCAACUUAUUCUUAUCUUCCUAAUAUCAAUGCCAUCCAACAUUACACAACCAGAGUCUGGAUCGUAAAACCUUUCAAUGAGGCUAAUCACGGUUGAUUUCCCACUCCCGCUCUCACCAACAAGUGCAACAGUCUGCAUACAAAAAAAAAAAAGAGUAAGCAAAAUGAGAUAGAAUUUGGAUUCUAAAUGGUAUUCAAUUCUGCAAUAAAUUUACCUUUCCAGAAGGUAUGCUGAGACACAAAUCUUUGAAUAUUUGAAUGUCUGGUCGUGUUGGGUACUUGAAACUAACAUGUUCCAACUCAAUAUUGCCUGUAACGGUAGGUAUUGUGGAACCAUCUUCACUGCUUGAAUCAAUGGGGGGUUUUCUAUCAAGAAUCUCAAAUAUUGAAGCUGCUGAAUCUUUAGCUUUAUUGGUAUCAGGAGCUAAAGCACUUGUUUGUGAAACACCAAUGGCUGACACCGUUAAUGCAAAGAAAACCUUGAAUACUUCUUCAAAUGUUGCUUUCCCAUGCUUCACUAGUACAGCUCCAAGGUAAAAACAAAAGGCAUUUGUGCAGUAUAGAGCAAAGAAAGAGAAACCAAACCCGGAACCGCUUACGAGUCCGAGACGGACUCCUUGCUUCAUUGGGGCUUGGCAUUUCUCUUGGUAUAAACCCAUCACCCUCUUUUCUGAACAAAAUGAAGCAACAGUUCUUAUACCUCCUACUGCAUCAUUAGCUACUUGGCUUGCUUCUUCGUACAUCAACUGCAUUUUACAUUCAUUUACAUGUUACAUAUAUGCAUAUAAAUACACGCUUUUUUCGUAUAGCCGAAACAAUUAUCAUCAAGUAUCAGUAUCACUGACCUUUGCAUCCGCACUGAAUCCCUUGAGAAAUUUGGUCUGCAGGUAUCCUUGAAUUAAUGUAAAUGGCAUGACAGCUAGGAUUGCUAUAGCUAAUAUCCAGUUAGCAGUAAAUGCUAUGACUAAUCCUGCUACGAUAGUAGUUAUGUUUUGUACAAUCAGGGCCAAGCUAUCACCGACAAGGUUUCUUACAGUCGAUGCAUCGGUAGACAGUCUCGCACCGAUGGCGCCACUGUGAAGUUU